rnacentral:rRNA from 1 species
AAAUGAAUUGACGGGGACCCGCACAAGCAGCGGAGCGUGUGGUUUAAUUCGAAGAUACGCGAAAAACCUUACCAAGACUUGACAUCGUACGACCGGGGUAGAGAUAUCCCUUUCCGUAGCAAUACGGACGUAUAGACAGGUGGUGCAUGGUUGUCGUCAGCUCGUGUCGUGAGAUGUUGGGUUAAGUCCCGCAACGAGCGCAACCCUCAUAAGCAGUUGCCAAUAUUAAGUUAGGAACUCUGAUUAGACUGCCGUGGAUAACACGGAGGAAGGUGGGGAUGACGUCAAAUCAUCAUGCCCCUUACGUCUUGGGCUACACACGCGCUACAAUGGCUACUACAAAGAGCAGCGAAGGGGCAACUCGGAGCGAAUCUCAUAAAAGUAGUCUCAGUUCAGAUUGUGGGCUGCAACCCGCCCGCAUGAAGACGGAGUUGCUAGUAAUCCCGAAUCAGCAUGUCGGGGUGAAUGCGUUCCCGGGUCUUGUACACACCGCCCGU